rnacentral:rRNA from 1 species
GGCUUAGAGUUUGAUCAUGGCUCAGGACGAACGCUGGUGGCGCGCCUAACACAUGCAAGUCGAACGGAGUUGUGUUGAAAGCUUGCUGGAUAUGCAACUUAGUGGCGGACGGGUGAGUAACACGUGAGUAACCUGCCUUUCAGAGUGGAAUAACGUUUGGAAGCGAACGCUAAUACCGCAUAACAUGAGAGAACGGCAUCGUUCUUUCAUCAAAGAUUUUAUCGCUGAGAGAUGGGCUCGCGGCCGAUUAGGUAGUUGGUGAGAUAACAGCCCACCAAGCCGACGAUCGGUAGCCGGACUGAGAGGUUGAACGGCCACAUUGGGACUGAGACACGGCCCAGACUCCUACGGGAGGCAGCAGUGGGGGAUAUUGCACAAUGGGGGAAACCCUGAUGCAGCGACGCCGCGUGAGGGAAGACGGUCUUCGGAUUGUAAACCUCUGUCUUUAGGGACGAAAAAAUGACGGUACCUAAGGAGGAAGCCACGGCUAACUACGUGCCAGCAGCCGCGGUAAUACGUAGGUGGCAAGCGUUGUCCGGAAUUACUGGGUGUAAAGGGAGCGUAGGCGGGGAGACAAGUUGAAUGUUUAAACUAUCGGCUCAACUGAUAGUCGCGUUCAAAACUAUCACUCUUGAGUGCAGUAGAGGUAGGCG